AGCGUACACGGUGGAUGCCCUGGCAGUCAGAGGCGAUGAAGGACGUGCUAAUCUGCGAUAAGCGUCGGUAAGGUGAUAUGAACCGUUAUAACCGGCGAUUUCCGAAUGGGGAAACCAGUGUGAUUCGUCACACUAUCAUUAACUGAAUCCAUAGGUUAAUGAGGCGAACCGGGGGAACUGAAACAUCUAAGUACCCGAGGAAAAGAAAUCAACCGAGAUUCCCCAGUAGCGGCGAGCGAACGGGGAGCAGCCCAGAGCCUGAAUCAGUGUGUGUGUUAGUGGAAGCGUCUGGAAAGGCGUGCGAUACAGGGUGACAGCCCCGUACACAAAAAUGCACAUAUUGUGAGCUCGAUGAGUAGGGCGGGACACGUGGUAUCCUGUCUGAAUAUGGGGGACCAUCCUCCAAGGCUAAAUACUCCUGACUGACCGAUAGUGAACCAGUACCGUGAGGGAAAGGCGAAAAGAACCCCGGCGAGGGGAGUGAAAAAGAACCUGAAACCGUGUACGUACAAGCAGUGGGAGCACGCUUAGGCGUGUGACUGCGUACCUUUUGUAUAAUGGGUCAGCGACUUAUAUUCUGUAGCAAGGUUAACCGAAUAGGGGAGCCGAAGGGAAACCGAGUCUUAACUGGGCGUUAAGUUGCAGGGUAUAGACCCGAAACCCGGUGAUCUAGCCAUGGGCAGGUUGAAGGUUGGGUAACACUAACUGGAGGACCGAACCGACUAAUGUUGAAAAAUUAGCGGAUGACUUGUGGCUGGGGGUGAAAGGCCAAUCAAACCGGGAGAUAGCUGGUUCUCCCGAAAGCUAUUUAGGUAGCGCCUCGUGAAUUCAUCUCCGGGGGUAGAGCACUGUUUCGGCAAGGGGUCAUCCCGACUUACCAACCCGAUGCAAACUGCGAAUACCGGAGAAUGUUAUCACGGGAGACACACGGCGGGUGCUAACGUCCGUCGUGAAGAGGGAAACAACCCAGACCGCCAGCUAAGGUCCCAAAGUCAUGGUUAAGUGGGAAACGAUGUGGGAAGGCCCAGACAGCCAGGAUGUUGGCUUAGAAGCAGCCAUCAUUUAAAGAAAGCGUAAUAGCUCACUGGUCGAGUCGGCCUGCGCGGAAGAUGUAACGGGCUAAACCAUGCACCGAAGCUGCGGCAGCGACACUAUGUGUUGUUGGGUAGGGGAGCGUUCUGUAAGCCUGUGAAGGUGUACUGUGAGGUAUGCUGGAGGUAUCAGAAGUGCGAAUGCUGACAUAAGUAACGAUAAAGCGGGUGAAAAGCCCGCUCGCCGGAAGACCAAGGGUUCCUGUCCAACGUUAAUCGGGGCAGGGUGAGUCGACUCCUAAGGCGAGGCCGAAAGGCGUAGUCGAUGGGAAACAGGUUAAUAUUCCUGUACUUGGUGUUACUGCGAAGGGGGGACGGAGAAGGCUAUGUUGGCCGGGCGACGGUUGUCCCGGUUUAAGCGUGUAGGCUGGUUUUCCAGGCAAAUCCGGAAAACUAAGGCUGAGGCGUGAUGACGAGGCACUACGGUGCUGAAGCAACAAAUGCCCUGCUUCCAGGAAAAGCCUCUAAGCAUCAGGUAACAUCAAAUCGUACCCCAAACCGACACAGGUGGUCAGGUAGAGAAUACCAAGGCGCUUGAGAGAACUCGGGUGAAGGAACUAGGCAAAAUGGUGCCGUAACUUCGGGAGAAGGCACGCUGAUAUGUAGGUGAAGUCCCUCGCGGAUGGAGCUGAAAUCAGUCGAAGAUACCAGCUGGCUGCAACUGUUUAUUAAAAACACAGCACUGUGCAAACACGAAAGUGGACGUAUACGGUGUGACGCCUGCCCGGUGCCGGAAGGUUAAUUGAUGGGGUCAGCGCAAGCGAAGCUCUUGAUCGAAGCCCCGGUAAACGGCGGCCGUAACUAUAACGGUCCUAAGGUAGCGAAAUUCCUUGUCGGGUAAGUUCCGACCUGCACGAAUGGCGUAAUGAUGGCCAGGCUGUCUCCACCCGAGACUCAGUGAAAUUGAACUCGCUGUGAAGAUGCAGUGUACCCGCGGCAAGACGGAAAGACCCCGUGAACCUUUACUAUAGCUUGACACUGAACAUUGAGCCUUGAUGUGUAGGAUAGGUGGGAGGCUUUGAAGUGUGGACGCCAGUCUGCAUGGAGCCGACCUUGAAAUACCACCCUUUAAUGUUUGAUGUUCUAACGUUGACCCGUAAUCCGGGUUGCGGACAGUGUCUGGUGGGUAGUUUGACUGGGGCGGUCUCCUCCUAAAGAGUAACGGAGGAGCACGAAGGUUGGCUAAUCCUGGUCGGACAUCAGGAGGUUAGUGCAAUGGCAUAAGCCAGCUUGACUGCGAGCGUGACGGCGCGAGCAGGUGCGAAAGCAGGUCAUAGUGAUCCGGUGGUUCUGAAUGGAAGGGCCAUCGCUCAACGGAUAAAAGGUACUCCGGGGAUAACAGGCUGAUACCGCCCAAGAGUUCAUAUCGACGGCGGUGUUUGGCACCUCGAUGUCGGCUCAUCACAUCCUGGGGCUGAAGUAGGUCCCAAGGGUAUGGCUGUUCGCCAUUUAAAGUGGUACGCGAGCUGGGUUUAGAACGUCGUGAGACAGUUCGGUCCCUAUCUGCCGUGGGCGCUGGAGAACUGAGGGGGCUGCUCCUAGUACGAGAGGACCGGAGUGGACGCAUCACUGGUGUUCGGGUUGUCAUGCCAAUGGCACUGCCCGGUAGCUAAAUGCGGAAGAGAUAAGUGCUGAAAGCAUCUAAGCACGAAACUUGCCCGAGAUGAGUUCUCCCUGACUCCUUGA
rnacentral:rRNA from 1 species